rnacentral:lncRNA from 1 species
GCUGCCCCGGCAGCAGCUCGGCGUGGUGCAGAGCAAGCUGUACCCGGUGUACUUCCGCGCCAUGGCCUACUGCGUCGGCCUGGCCCUGGCGGCGCACCUGCUCGGCCGCGAGAGGAGCUCCUUCGCGGCGCGCGCCCAGACCUUCAACUUGCUCAGCGCGCUGGGACUGGUCCUCGCCAACAUGCUGCUUCUCGAGCCAAAAGCCACCAAGGUAAGAUUGUCCCAGCAUUCUUCUUCGUGCAAUUCGUCCUGUCGUUCGCAAAUCCGUGUCCGUCUCAUGCAUGCAGGUUUCCUCAUCUUCAUCGCAGGUGAUGUUCGAAAGGAUGAAAGUGGAGAAGGAAGAAGGCAGAGGAAGGGACAUGUCCGACAUCAUCGACCCGCCGGCCGUCACGGUGGCCACGGCCGCCACGACCACCACAGCCGCCCCCACGGCAGCAGGAGCCCGCAGCCCGGUGGACGGCACGACGGGAACCGUCAGGGCGGCGAAGACCACGACGACGACGACCUCGGUGACGGCGCCCGACGCGGAGAUGGCCAAGAGCAAGGUGGUGAGGCUGAACAAGCGGCUGAAGCAGCUCAACGGCUACUCGUCCCUGUGCAACGUGCUGUCCCUGAUGGCCCUGACGUGGCACCUCGUUCACCUGGCUCGCCGCCUGCAGAUGAGCACCGCCUGCUAGGCUCAUCGUCCCCGUGCAAAUGGAUGUAGUCUUCGUUGUAGCUUUGCUUUUGUGUUUUACGUAGUGUGGUCUGACACGUGCGUGGUUGCUCGGUGUGUUUGAGCAACCGCUCUGUAGAUUUAGGCAUCGUGUUCCCCCUCCGGUGUGUACUAGGAUGGCAUCUGAAUAUUAGCUUUGUUGUAGUCCUCUGAUGCUUCGUGGUUAAAGCUUGGAUGCGAUUUCAGCUUCGUGGUUAAGGUUAAAGCUUGGAUGCGAUUUCAGCUUCGUGGUUAAGGUUAAAGCUUGGAUGCGAUUUCAGCUUCGUGGUUAAGCUUGGACAGCACGUGAGUACCGGAGUGUAGAAUAUGUGAAUUGCACGAUGUAUUGAUCUUCGUGUAUAGGCACGUAUAUAUGAUGUACAAAGGUGGGCCACGGACCUUAACUAUACAAGAACUAGGAGGCGGGCCAAAUACACAAUAAAUGACGAUGUAGCAAGCAGGAUCACCUGUUCCCGAACAAAAUGAAUAUCCAACUUAAUAUGCUUGGUCCGGUGCGUUGAUGAUGCACCGGGUUAGCGGAAAGAUUGAUCGUCAAGACGUUGUCGCGAUAGACCACCGUGGCACGGUUAACAAGACAAGAGAGCUCCUGAAGCAGCUAGCGAAGCCACGAACACUCGGCGACGGCGUUGGCCACCGCAUGAUACUCAGCCUCAGCACUGGAACGAGAGACCGUAGGCUGUCGCUUGGACGACCACGAGAUAAGUGAGGGUUCAAGGUAGACACAAUAGCCCGACGUGGGGCGGAGGCGUGAAGCGUGAUGCCAAGAUCUAUAGUGCCACAGAUAUAGCGGAGAAUCCGCUUGACGGCAGCCCAGUGAACGUCUCGAGGAGCAUGCGUAUGAAGACACACCUGCUGCACGGCAUACUAGAUCUCCGCUCGAGUCAGAGUGAGGUAUUGGAGAGCACCAACGAUAGACCGAUAGAAAGCAGCAUCCGAUAAACAUGAGAACCAUCCAUAGCAGAAAGCUUGGCCUUCGUAUCAACAGGCGUAGCGGUGGGCUUACAGUUAAGCAUGCCGGCGCGCUCCAGGAGCUCAUGGGCGUACUUCCGCUGAUGAAGGAAUAAGCCAUCCAGACGGCGCACCACCUUGACACCGAGGAAGUAGUGCGAAGGACCCAAGUUCUUGAUGGCGAACUCAGCGCGAAGACGGGCUGACUGAGGAGACCAGUCGUACAUGCCGUCAGGAUGAUGUCGUCGACAUAGAGCAGCAAGUAGGGCGUGUCAGAGUCCUAAUGAUAGACGAAGAGCGAGGCGUUCGAGCGGGUAGAGCGGAACCCAAGCUGGUGGAGAAACGUCGCGAUGCGCUGGUACCAAGCGCGCGGAGCCUGCUUGAGUCCGUACAAGGACCGUGAAAGCAGACACACGUGGUCGGGAAGUGUCGGGUCCACAAACCUGGUGGGCUGCUGGCAGAAGACCUGCUCCUCGAGAUGACCAUGAAAGAAGGCGUUGGAGACGUCCAUCUGGUGCACCGGCCAAGCACGGAAUACCGCAAGGUGGAGAACCGUGCGUAUCGUGCCGGGCUUGACGACCGGAGCGAAGGUGUCGGUGAAGUCGAUGCCAGCAUGAUGUCGGAAGCCACGGACGACCCAGCGCACUUUGUAGCGAUCAAGGGUACCAUCAGGACGGAGCUUGUGUUUAAAGACCCACUUCCCGGUAAUCACGUUGGCAUGUCGGGGGCGGAGAACAAGCUGCCACAUCCGGUUACGCAAUAGGACGUCAAACUCCUCUUGCAUCGUAGCCAUUCAGAGUGGGUCACGAAGAGCGGCUCGAACAGAGGAUGAUAACGGCGACGGCUCAGAGGUGGACGCCGCAUGGACGUAUUCAUCCGAGGCGUAGCACGAGCUCGGGCGAAAGACGCCCGUACGGGCACGGGUGACCGGACCGGCCACGGGCACCGACGGCACUGCGGGUGCCGGGGGGUCGAGGGCGCCGGGGGCACCGCGGGGGCCNNNNNNNNNNNNNNNNNNNNNNNNNNNNNNNNNNNNNNNNNNNNNNNNNNNNNNNNNNNNNNNNNNNNNNNNNNNNNNNNNNNNNNNNNNNNNNNNNNNNNNNNNNNNNNNNNNNNNNNNNNNNNNNNNNNNNNNNNNNNNNNNNNNNNNNNNNNNNNNNNNNNNNNNNNNNNNNNNNNNNNNNNNNNNNNNNNNNNNNNNNNNNNNNNNNNNNNNNNNNNNNNNNNNNNNNNNNNNNNNNNNNNNNNNNNNNNNNNNNNNNNNNNNNNNNNNNNNNNNNNNNNNNNNNNNNNNNNNNNNNNNNNNNNNNNNNNNNNNNNNNNNNNNNNNNNNNNNNNNNNNNNNNNGGGCGCCGAGAGGGCCGCGGGUGUCGGGGGUGCCACGGGCGCCGUGUGUGCCGUGGGCGCCGGGGGCGCCGAGGGGGCCGUGGGCGCCAGGGGGGCGUUGGGGCCGCGGGCGCCAACGUCAGGGGUGCCAAUGUCGCGGCUGUAGGAGGCGCCGCAUGCGGGGGGCGCGCCUCAAAGCCAGAGGGGCAGGCCAAGAGAGGCGCGCGAGCGCCCUGGGAGAGGCGUCGAGGAGCCCGCGUCACCGGUGGCGGGAGGAACAGCCGGGGGUACCUGGUGAAACAAAAACACAUGCUCAUCAAAGUAAACGUGCCGGGAAGUGAACACACGGUGGGAGACGGGAUCGUAGCACCGAUAUCCCUUGGAGUUGGAGGGGUAGCUGAUGAAGAUGCAAGCGACAAAACGAGGUGCGAGUUUGUGAGGAGCGGAGUCGGCAAUGCUAGGAUAGCAAAGACACCCGAAAAUACGCAAGCCAUCAUAAAAUGGGGGCGUACCGAAGAGAAGAUGGUGAGGUGCAUAGUUCCACCGUGGGCGGCAAGGGCGAAGGUUAAGGAGAAGAGAAGCAGUGGCGAGUGCGUCCGGCCAGAAACGAGGCGGCACAUUAGCAUGGAACAGGAGCGUGCGAACGCAGUCGUUCAGAGUGCGAAGUACGCGUUCGGCUCGACCGUUCUGCUGGAAAGUAUAUGGGCAUGUGAGACGAAAAACUAUGCCAUGGUGCAAUAGAAAAGUGCGGAAAGUAAGGUUGUCGAACUCUUUUCCAAUGUCAGUCUGAAGAGCAAGGAUGAGACGUCCAAACUGCAUCCUAACAUAGGAUAAAAAGCCGUUAAAGUGGAUAGUGCAUCCGACUUUCUGCGCAAAAGAAAAGUCCACACAUAAUGAGAAUAAUCAUCAAGGAUAACCAGAUAAUAUAAAUAGCCCGAAUUACUAGGAACCGGAGAGGUCCACACAUCGCUAUGAAUCAACUGAAAAAAAAAGAAGCUAUGGUGAUGGAGUUAUUAAACGGGAGGCGAACAUGUUUGCCGACCCGACAGGCAUGACAGGUGUGAUCCUCUAUCUUAUGACAACUGAAACUGAAACUUUUAAGAAUAUGACGAAGUGUGACGGGGUUGGGAUAACCCAAACGAGCGUGCCAGAGAUAGACGCCGGCGGAGAGAGCAACCGGUGCAGCGGUGGAGGUGGACGGCGAAUGCACCGGAUAUAGCUCGUCGAGGUUGUCACAUCGGUGAAGUACCAUCCUGGUUCGAGCGUCCUUGAUACAAAACCCAAGCUCGUUAAAUUCAACAGUAACAGGAUUUUCACGAGUUAAACGACAAAGGGAAAUAAGGUUCUUAAUAAGAUGAGGUGACACAAAUAUGUUAGACAAAGUAAUAGGCAUGAAAUUAAAAGGAAAAGAAGUGCGUCCGACGUGUGUGAUAGGGAGUGUGGAACCGUCGCCGACAAUGAUGCGGCGGUCGGUGGUGACGGGAGUGAAGGAGGCAAGAUUACCAGGAUGAGCAAACAUGUGAGCCGUAGCUCCGGUGUCCAUGUACCAAUCAUCACCUCCGGUGUAGUUGUUCGGCGUAGGAACGACAUGCAAUGCGGGAAGGAGCACCGGGUCCCAGGGCGCCGGCGUCAGGGCCGACGAGGGGGGCGGAGACGUCAUGGGGAGGCCGUAGCCACCGCUCGACAGCGGCGGUGGGUACUCUCCAAACGCUAUGGGAAGCAGGCCUGGCUGCGACUGCGGUGUGGGGUAGACCGGAUGGCCCGCCGAAUAAACCUGCUGGCCUGUUGACGACCCCCACUAGUACGCGGGAGCCCCGUACACGGGCGUGUCGAACGCCCUGCGCAACAGCAAGGGAUCGACGGGGCCGUAGGGCACCGGCGGCGGGAUGGUAGAGGCGGCAACGGAUGGGCCGGUGGACGUCAUCUCUGGUCCGACGGCGGCGGCUGGGCAGCGGCGGUCAACGGCGCAGAGGAGGUGCGCGGCGGCGGCAGCGUAGAGGAGAUGUGCGGCGGCGGCGGCAGCGGCGCAGAGGAGGUGCGCGGCGGCGGCGGCGGAAACGAAAAAGCUAAAAACUGAUAAGCGGCGGCGGCGGGCGAUCGAGCGAGUUACAACAGCAGCUUGGCGGGCUGUUGCUUCGGGCGAUGCAGCAGCGGGUCAGGCAACGCGGGGCUGACGGGGCACGAAGCGGCGGCGUCGGGCGAUCGAGCGAGCGGCCGAGGAACUAUGCACACGCAAGUGCAAAGCUAGCUACUCGUGGCUUGAUGGAUUCUCAAGUUGCACACGGGCGAUGCAGGCCGCUGUGGGUUUGACGUGAGCGGCGAUCAUGCGAGCGCGCGACAGGCAGAGGGAGGUGGCAGCGACCGGCGCGGCAGGCGCGCGAGGGGCGGCGGGGUGGCGGUAGCGCGCGGUGGCAGCGGAAGGCUAGGGUUAGAAUCCGAAAAUUGAUACCAUGUAGAAUAUGUGAAUUGCACGAUGUAUUGCUCUUCGUGCAUAGGCACGUAUAUAUAGUGUAUAAAGGUGGGCCGCGGGCCUCAACUAUACAAAGAAUUAGGAGGCGGGCUCAAUACACAAUAUGCACAUAACACAUAUACUCAACACGGAGCACGUGCAUUGCCCUUUUGAUCUUCCUUCACCGAGCGUUUCUUCCUUCACGGCUUCACCUUGGGAUGAUUUGGCAGGGCGACAAAGUGGCGCCUUCUUUGCUCCCCUAUUGUUUUCGGACUUGAUGCACUCUGAGCAAGAGCUAAAGUAGCUCCUAAGAAUAGUGUUAUUGUACCUACUAAAGAAAUAAAACUCAUUAUCAAAAGGUAAAGAUAUGAAAAGAGGAAGAAGUCGAGCUAGAAGAAAAAUUAGAUCUGGCACCAUCAAAGCGUCGUGAGCAACGCAGCAACGCGGUUGGUUUCAACGAACAAAAACCAGACAUUUUGGCGGAGCGACUCGGAAAUAGCGCAGCCGACCCUCGGCACCUCGCCCCGAUCUCUCCCUACCGCUGCCGCCUGAGUUCACGCCGGCGAAGCUUGGGCUGUGACGGCGGCGUGGGGUCUUCUUCCCUCCGGUGGCGUCCUCCCAUGACGGCGGUGACAUGGACUUCGGUGGCGUGGUGCCACGGGAUCCUGACUGCGGACAUGGCGGCGGCGACAACGGCGGCGCGACCUUCCCGUGGGGGUGGCGCCCCUAUGGCGGUAGCCGGAAUCUCAGAUGUCAUCGGGCUUUGGCGGGCUGACGGGUCUGGUUUCCGGCGGCAGGCUGGCGUGGUGGGCCUAGCAAAGUUGUUUGCUUUGGCACCGUGGUGGUGCCUCGGCCGGUCAGGCGGCGCCGGAUGUCACCGGGCUUUGGCGAGCUGACGGGUCUGGUUUGCGGCGGCAGGCUGGCGUGGUGGGCCUAGCAAAGUUGGUUGCUUUGGCACCGUGGUGGUGCCUCGGCCGGUCAGGCGGCGCCGGCUGGAUCCUUUUGGUCUAGUCUCUAGCAGAGAAGGCGGCGAUCCGUGCACAAAAAACUGGAUGGAGUUCUUUGAAUAGAUCUGUGCAAAAACCUGCUCUUAGCUAGAUGCCAAGGCCGGCAAUGACGGCUCUAAAGUGUCGUCCCCUUCUUGAAGGCACUGUCGUGAACAAGUUUUAGACCACUAUAUGCUAUCUUCGGAGGAAACCCAGGUUGAUAGAUCAGAAGAUGGUGGGCGCUUGUGUCGUUUUCCCCUUAGGGCGUCAUUCUUGGAGGUGUACAUGGACUCGAGAGACCAGUAGACGACAUCUUUGGCGCGGUGUUUCAUUAUACACAUUGAUGGUGAUGGAUCUCGAUGGCAUGGAGUCCUAGAGAUUAGGCGUCUGAUGUGUGAUGAUGGACUCGUGCAGGAGGAUGAGAUGUCUGGCGUCUUGGUGGCGUCGACGACAACUAGACCGAGCAAGGUUGAUGCAUUAGUACAACUCUGAAGAUGGAUUGGUGGCGGCGGCAGCCUCUGAGUGUGCGCCGGACCGGUGGGUGCCCCAUACCCGACAAAUGGCUUGGUUGGGGGCUAAGGCUUAAAUGUUAGGUUUGGCUGCGAGGUCAAUUUGGUAUUAGGUCCAGACUAUCAGCAUCCCUUCGUUACCUGGAUAGGAGUAGUGACAGAUGUUGUUUAAAUGAUGGUUUUAGUCUUAUUGUUGUAUUACUUUUUAGAAGAUUCUUUUAAUAAUUAAUAAAAUGACUGCAUGCAUCGUCCAGAUACAGUGGCCCAACGUCUUCUUUUUUUUAAAAAAAAAAACGUUUUGACGGAGCGGUGAAGGAACUUUCCUUGCCUUUUUAUCGGAUCGUCGUGCGUUUAUUUUUGAAACGUAGUACAAUUUCUUUUAAACAUAUAGUAGUACAUUUUUUAAGCAUAGUACAAACGCAAACCACGUGUGCAUACAUCAACAAGAACUGUAUGAACUUAUCAUAUGCGAAACUUUGAGUCGGUAGGUUCUUAGAUCGAUAGGUUUUGAGACCAAUGAAGUUAGGGUAUGACUAGAGGUCAGGUGACUGAAUUUACAAAUUUGGGUCAGUCACUUUUUCUCCGUCCACAUCGGCGCCCCAGGCAUUGGGCUCGGCGAGCUACCGGGCUGUGCAGCUGCUGUUGUUACGUGCUUCGUCCCACCGCUCGCAUGCACGCUAAGCUAGCUCGCUCAGAGUUGAUAAAACACACAGCCACACUACAUUCCACGCCACAUGGUCUCUUUUUUUUUUGCGUGGAUUCCACACCACAUGCUAGAUACCGAAUAAUACCAGCAUAGGCACUAUGAUAUCUUUUUUAAUUUCAAAGCAACGGAAUCCUACAGCUCAAAACUUUUUGUACUCUUUUGUAUGCGCACAUAUAGUGCAGUACUCCUACGAAUCUGUAUAAAAAUCUACUCCCCCCGUUUCCAAAUAUUCGUCUUUCUAGACAUUUCAAAUGGACUAUUACUUACGGAUAUAUGUAGACAUAUUUUAGAGUGUAAAUUCACUCAUUUUGCUUUGUAUGUAGUCAUUUGUUGAAAUCUCUAGAAAGACAAAUAUUUAGAAACGGAAGAAGUAUGUUCGUACGUGAGAGAUAAAAACAGAUAACAAUGAAGAUAAAAUGUGAAGACAUCUUGAUCACAAGCUACAGGGAACCCCACUUGGUUAAUGUUUUCCAUUUCUUUGUAUCGUGUGCCAGUCCAAUGAAAGAAUUAGCGCCAAUAGAAAAUAAAAAAAAUCUAUGGAAGAAUUAAUUAGUACAUUGAUAUCACCCUUUAAAAAGAAAGAAAAUGAAGAAUAAAACAAAUUAAUGACAAAACUUGCACACAAUUUACGCAGAGGUUACACUUUUUAUAAUAUGCAAGGAUAAACUUAUAGUACUGAGUUUUUUUUGCAAAAAGAAGUUCCCUUAGAAGAACGAAUUAGUGACUUUAAUAUAAUCCGUAAAGAAAAAUAAAUAAAAAACAAAAAAAAUAAAAUUUGCGUACAAUUUACAAAGAAAUCGCACUUUGUUAUAAUAUGCAAGAAUCAACAUGUAAUAGUGGAAUUUUUGCAAAAGAAGAAUUUUUCCAAAGAGUGAAUGAAUUAGUUGCAUUGAUAUUUCAUCCACGGCGUCUCUACUUCUCAAAAUGAGAAAAAUAAAGUUUUCUAUGAAAGAUUAAAUUGAUGGCAUUAGUAUGACCAUUUAAGAAGAAAGAAAAUAAAGGAAAAACUAACACGCAAUUAAAUCAGAAAUUGUGUUUUUUUUACAAUAUGAAGGCUAAGCAUAAAAUAGUGGAGUUAUCACAAAAAAGGAAAGUUUUCUAAUAUUAGUAUUACACUUUAAGAAGAAAGAAAUUUAACAAAACAAAAAAACAAAAA